UCACUUUAGCAGUGCCUAGAUUAAAUUAAAAUGACAUAGAGAAAAUUUGCAUGACUUCUGGACAAGAAUGACAUGCAAAUUUGUGAAGUUCCAAAUUUAA
ensembl:snRNA U6 U6 spliceosomal RNA